UGUCUUUUUUUUUUUUGGGGGGGGGGGGGGGGGGAGUAGGUUUUUGUUUAUUGAUUGAUUGUUAUAUUUAUUUAUUGAUUGAUAGAUUUAGUGAAACGAGCCGAAGGCUUCCCUCAGGAGCCACCUUCCCGUUCCGCGCACCUCAGCAGGAGGUGGAGGAGGAGGCAGCAGCAGCAGGAGCAGGAGGAGGAGCAAUGGCGGCUGCCGCCCCGUGACGUCACCGCCGGGCGCCGCAGUGCGGGCCCCGGCAGCCGGCGUGGUGGUGGCGGUCCGUCAUGGUUCGCUUCGGGCUGACCGUUGUCCGGCAUGGAGAAACAAGAUACAACAAAGACAAGAUACUGCAAGUGCUAUGUGUUGCAAGGAAGAAUCGUGCUUCUGGAUUUUCCUAUCUCAAUUUUGACAUUGCAGCUUAAAGUAGGCAAUACAAGCACGGACACAACAAUUUCUUACAGGUUGGUCCCUCUGCCACACUUUUGGGUGUAUGAGUCAGCCAGCAC
rnacentral:lncRNA from 1 species